GUGGGGAAUAUUGGACAAUGGGCGCAAGCCUGAUCCAGCCAUGCCGCGUGUGUGAAGAAGGCCUUUUGGUUGUAAAGCACUUUAAGCGAGGAGGAGGCUACUUGGAUUAAUACUCUAGGAUAGUGGACGUUACUCGCAGAAUAAGCACCGGCUAACUCUGUGCCAGCAGCCGCGGUAAUACAGAGGGUGCGAGCGUUAAUCGGAUUUACUGGGCGUAAAGCGUGCGUAGGCGGCUUUUUAAGUCGGAUGUGAAAUCCCUGAGCUUAACUUAGGAAUUGCAUUCGAUACUGGGAAGCGAGAGUAUGGGAGAGGAUGGUAGAAUUCCAGGUGUAGCUGUGAAAUGCGUAGAGAUCUGGAGGAAUACCGAUGGCGAAGGCAGCCAUCUGGCCUAAUACUGACGCUGAGGUACGAAAGCAUGGGGAGCAAACAGGAUUAGAUACCCGAGGAGUCC
rnacentral:rRNA from 1 species